AGAGUUUGAUUCUGGCUCAGGACGAACGCUGGCGGCGUGCCUAAUACAUGCAAGUAGAACGCUGAAGAGAGGAGCUUGCUCUUCUUGGAUGAGUUGCGAACGGGAGAGUAACGCGUAGGUAACCUGCCUUGUAGCGGGGGAUAACUAUUGGAAACGAUAGCUAAUACCGCAUAACAAUGGAUGACACAUGUCAUUUAUUUGAAAGGGGCAAUUGCUCCACUACAAGAUGGACCUGCGUUGUAUUAGCUAGUAGGUGAGGUAAUGGCUCACCUAGGCGACGAUACAUAGCCGACCUGAGAGGGUGAUCGGCCACACUGGGACUGAGACACGGCCCAGACUCCUACGGGAGGCAGCAGUAGGGAAUCUUCGGCAAUGGGGGCAACCCUGACCGAGCAACGCCGCGUGAGUGAAGAAGGUUUUCGGAUCGUAAAGCUCUGUUGUAAGUCAAGAACGGGUGUGAGAGUGGAAAGUUCACACUGUGACGGUAGCUUACCAGAAAGGGACGGCUAACUACGUGCCAGCAGCCGCGGUAAUACGUAGGUCCCGAGCGCUGUCCGGAUUUAUUGGGCGUAAAGCGAGCGCAGGCGGUUUGAUAAGGCUGAAGUUAAAGGCUGUGGCUCACCCAUAGUUCGCUUUGGAAACUGUCAAACUUGAGUGCAGAAGGGGAGAGUGGAAUUCCAUGUGUAGCGGUGAAAUGCGUAGAUAUAUGGAGGAACACCGGUGGCGAAAGCGGCUCUCUGGUCUGUAACUGACGCUGAGGCUCGAAAGCGUGGGGAGCGAACAGGAUUAGAUACCCUGGUAGUCCACGCCGUAAACGAUGA
rnacentral:rRNA from 1 species